rnacentral:misc_RNA from 1 species
GUUGAAAUACUUCUUCAUCAGCAACUUUGGCGGUGAUUAUGAAUGUUGAAUCAGUAAAUCCUAACUUCUUUAAAAUGGUAUCAAUGAAGGCAAAGAGAUAGGAGGUUGUUCUUUUAUAUGGUAUUCCACCAGCCCAGGAUUGUGCCACCAGACCACAGGAAUUCAACUAGGCUAUAAAUGUACUUAGCAGAUAUCACAUAAGCAAAUGGUAGGAACCAGGGGCUUGAGACCUGUGGAAACAAGGAUAUGCCUUUCAGGAGAUAAAGUGAAGGAAUGAUGGUGUAGUAUAGGGUUGCUAGGCAGUUUGGAGCCCAGAGACAAUAGCAGCAAUAGCAAAGUUGAAGCCCAAGGGAAAUACUUCCAUAUCCAUACCAUGCAGGGCUAUACUUGGAAAGCAAAAUCUGGAAAUCACCUUCGGACCAUCUUUUAUGCUGCACUAGCGUCUGAGGCAGGGUGGUUGCUGUAACCCCUAAGAAUGCUUUCCUUUCUGGAUUGAAAUAAGCUGAUUUCCAACCUUUGCAUUGGAUUGACAACCCUGUAAUUACAUCCUCCACUGGACAUCCGUAUUUCAGUCCCAUCUCAUUUCCCCAUUGAGUGUUUUGCUCAUAAGUACAGCUUGCAAGAGGCCUUGUUUCUUCUUCUAAUUCUUGUGCACUCUGUAGUCUCUUCUGAUCAUCAUCUCUCUUCCAUUCAAUUUUACAAUCCUGUGUGAAUUUCCUUCCACAGAGAGUAUCCCUCCUGUGAAAGCACCCAGUUCCAACAUACAGAGGGCCCCCAAAACCAU